CUAUUUUGACCAUAUGAUCAACACUUGUACAUAGUGCCAUUUACUUUGUGUUCUUCACUCUCGCGCUGUGUUGUGAACGUUCGAAACUCAUUUCCAGAACUAAUGCAAAUUUCAUUUGGGAAGGAUCGGUGCCGGAAGAUGCAGCGAAAAUCAUUAAAUGUUAAUAGAAAAGUGGUUAAGUUAAUCGUGAAAGAUGUCAACGCAGGCGUAAAUGCAGUAUGUUUUGUUAAAUGAUCUACAGGUAAGUGCAUGCAUAAGAAGAAGAAUCUUCCAAAUGAUGUUUGUGUUCUAACAAUCGUACUGCUUUUAAUGUUUGUUUAUUCUGUUAUUAUUUUCCAUCACACCUAGCUAUUUCAUCACCAAAGCCCCUGAUAAUAGAUCAAAGCAGAUGGAUCGGGCAUACAGAGUCGCCGUUUAAUUUAAAAUAUCUUCGUGAUCGGCAAACGCAUCAAACAGCAUAUUUUUUUUCAACAGCACGCACCAUCGGUGGAGCAAGCAGCUAACGUUUUGUUCGCCCAGCACGCACCAUCAAGUAUUGAAAUAUUUUCAAAUAGCUUUGUGAAUAAAAAACUGCACACUUA